rnacentral:misc_RNA from 1 species
GAUGAAGAACGCAGCGAAUUGCGAUAAGUAAUGUGAAUUGCAGAAUUCAGUGAAUCAUCGAAUCUUUGAACGCAGCUUGCGCUCUCUGGUAUUCCGGAGAGCAUGCCUGUUUCAGUGUCAUGAAAUCUCAACCACUAGGGUUUCCUAAUGGAUUGGAUUUGGGCGUCUGCGAUUUCUGAUCGCUCGCCUUAAAAGAGUUAGCAAGUUUGACAUUAAUGUCUGGUGUAAUAAGUUUCACUGGGUCCAUUGUGUUGAAGCGUGCUUCUAAUCGUCCGCAAGGACAAUUACUUUGACUCUGGCCUGAAAUCAGGUAGGACUACCCGCUGAACUUAAGCAUAUCAAUAAGCGGAGGA